UACGUAGGGUGCAAGCGUUAUCCGGAAUUACUGGGCGUAAAGCGUGCGCAGGCGGUUUGUUAAGUCUGCUGUGAAAUCCCCGAGCUCAACUUGGGAAUUGCAGUGGAUACUGGCAGGCUGGAGUAUGGUAGAGGAAGGUGGAAUUCCCGGUGUAGCAGUGAAAUGCGUAGAGAUCGGGAGGAACACCAGUGGCGAAGGCGGCCUUCUGGACCAAUACUGACGCUCAUGCACGAAAGCGUGGGGAGCAAACAGG
rnacentral:rRNA from 1 species